CCCUACGGGUUCAACACUGAACAACCUAGAAAGUCACACGGUUGCACACAUGUCCACCAUUUCUACACGAAGCGGAAUCUGUGGGUACUGGCGACAAUUCUUCAUGCUAGUACCAACGUCCAGGACAGGUUGGUUCACCAAUCCGUAUCUGCCACUCUGUGUUCGCGUCUUGUACGCUACAAUUUUGGCAAGCGCGGCAAUGGCUCAUUGUCAGGGACUCUGUAUAUCUCCUCGGUCAACGCGGAAACCAAUCCAAUGUCAGUGUUUGCCGGUAAACUGCAGGAUUUCGCCAAGGCUCUUGUUGCGCCCAUCUACAGUAUAACGGCAACCGAAUCGACAACAUCGCUGAUGAUGUCAGAGAAUAGCUUCGACUAUUUGUUUCUCGAUCCUCCCUUCGGCUCGAACAUCAUGUAUUCUGAAAUGAACUUCCUCUGGGAGC
rnacentral:rRNA from 1 species